GACGAACGCUGGCGGCGUGCUUAACACAUGCAAGUCGAACGGAAAGGCCUCUUUCGUGGGGUACUCGAGUGGCGAACGGGUGAGUAACACGCGCGUAACCUGCCCUUGUCUUUGGGAUAACUUCCUUCAACUGGGGCUAGUUCCGGCCAGGAGCUCCUGCUGCAUGGUGGGGGCUGGAAAGUUUCGGCGGUUUGGGAUGGCCUCGAGGCUUAUCCGCUUGGUGGUGGGGUAGUGGUUUACCAAGGCGUUGACGGGUAGCCGGCCUGUGAGGGUGAUCGGCGACAUUGGGACUGAGGUACGGCCCAGACUCCGACGGGAGGCAGCAGUGGGGAAGAUUGCACAAUGGGUGGAAGCCUGAUGCAGCAACGCCGUGUGCGGGAUGACGGCCUUAGGGUUGUAGACCGAUUUCGCUCAUGACGAAGCAUUGUGUGACGGUAGUGGGUAAAGAAGCACCGGCUAACUACGUG
rnacentral:rRNA from 1 species